GAUGUAUGAAGAGUCCUGUCUGGCGCAGCUUUGGCCACAAACAUUCGAAUGGAUUCCUUGAUGAUCGCACCGCGACUCCCCAUUUUCCAAUAAUCUACACUAUACUCUGCGCAUUCACAAAGAUGUCCCGGUUCAGGAAUCAUUACCAACCUCUGUCCUACAUGAUACCAGCCGGGACUAUCCUGCUAACCCACCUGGUCAUACCGCAUCCCUCUGCUCAGAGACCCCCAAAGUACCGAAGCUGAUCCAGUUUACCGGAUCCAUCCGCAGCGCCCACGUCCACUACAGAGCAGCCGUCUUCAGUAAGAGAUUACAAACCCAGUAGAGCAGCCGCUAGGCAUUAAUCCCGGUUUAUCGUCUGUGACUUCAGUAAAGACAGCCCUGAUCUCCAGCCCAAGCAGUCCGUGUGCUCCAUACCUUCUGCCCUGCAUGAUGACUCAGUGGACUUCACAACUCAUUCGAU